rnacentral:rRNA from 1 species
UAGGGAAUCUUCCACAAUGGACGCAAGUCUGAUGGAGCAACGCCGCGUGAGUGAAGAAGGUUUUCGGACCGUAAAGCUCUGUUGUUGGUGAAGAAGGAUAGAGGUAGUAACUGGCCUUUAUUUGACGGUAAUCAACCAGAAAGUCACGGCUAACUACGUGCCAGCAGCCGCGGUAAUACGUAGGUGGCAAGCGUUGUCCGGAUUUAUUGGGCGUAAAGCGAGCGCAGGCGGAAGAAUAAGUCUGAUGUGAAAGCCCUCGGCUUAACCGAGGAAUUGCAUCGGAAACUGUUUUCUUGAGUGCAGAAGAGGAGAGUAGAAUUCCAUGUGUAGCGGUGGAAUGCGUAGAUAUAUGGAAGAAUACCAGCGGCGAAGGCGGCUCUCUGGUCUGCAACUGACGCUGAGGCUCGAAAGCAUGGGUAGCGAACAGGAUUAGAUACCCUGGUAGUCCAUGCCGUAAACGAUGAGUGCUAAGUGUUGGGAGGCUUCCGCCUCUCAGUGCUGCAGCUAACGCAUUAAGCACUCCGCCUGGGGGAGUACGACCGCAAGGUUGAAAC